ACGGUUACCUUGUUACGACUUAGCCCCAGUCAUCGGUUUUGCCCUAGGGCGCUGCUCGCGCUCACGCACUUCAGGCACUCCCGACUCCCAUGGCUUGACGGGCGGUGUGUACAAGGCCCGGGAACGUAUUCACCGCGCCGUGGCUGAUGCGCGAUUACUAGCGAAUCCAGCUUCAUGGAGUCGGGUUGCAGACUCCAAUCCGAACUGAGACAGGCUUUCGGGUUCCGCUCCCUGUCGCCAGGUGGCUUCCCGCUGUACCUGCCAUUGUAACACGUGUGUCGCCCCGGACGUAAGGGCCGUGCUGAUUUGACGUCAUCCCCGCCUUCCUCGCAGCUUGCGCCGGCAGUCCCGCCAGAGUCCCCAGCUUUGCCUGUUGGCAACUGGCGGUAGGGGUUGCGCUCGUUAUGGCACUUAAGCCGACACCUCACGGCACGAGCUGACAACAACCAUGCAGCACCUCG
rnacentral:rRNA from 1 species